UACACUCAUGAUUAUGGAAAUAGAAACAGAUUGUGAGUCAGAGAAGAAGUUGAGUCAGAAUGAAUAUGUGAAGUCAGUAGAAUGGAAUGAUCACGGCCAUUAACUUUGCCUUGUGAAAGGUGGUAAGGCAAGACCAGUCAAAGAACCAAAGCAAAGAGGGCACCCAAAGGGCAACUGGAUAAAAUUGCCAAGAUGUGUUGACAGCUAAAAUGACAGUUAUACCUGAAAGAAAAAGUUGGAGACAGCAGAGGAGCUAUGUAAGAGAGUUAUUGAUUAUCUCCUGUAGGUCAGAAAGUAAAAAAGGCCCCACUACCUCAAUUGAUAUUAAUUGAAAAGCUUGCUGACAUCACUAACAGAAAAGCCUUGGACUGCACUGAUGGGAACUUGUUUUCUAAUCUUAAAACUGGUCCUUCUACUGAUUUAUUGAAGUAUCAACCACAUCUGAGAUUUUCUCUGCUGCCUUGCUUUCGAAAAGUGCUGUGCAACAGGAGCCUUUGUCAAACACAAUCCAAGGGUUUAAUCAUCUUCUCUGCAAUCUUCAGAAAUGCACAAGGAGUAUAAACACCAUUGCCAUUUCAGCAGAGUGCCUUUAUGGGAUAUCAAAAGAAAACAUCCCGGAAAUUUCAGUCAUAACUUCAGGGUUUUUUUACCCUCUGUCUCAAAUAAGGGCCAGAUGCACACUCUGAGACUGAGUCAUAGUGAGGGAUUUUUUGGUUAUUUAAUUACAGUUUUUAAUUAGUGUGAGAAAGCUUAACUGAUCCUAAAUAGUGGUAACAGUUGACAAAUUACAAAAGCACGCCAUGCCCACAGAAAAGCUAAUGCUGCAAGGAAGGCACCAGCAAUCAACACUCAUUUGUAAUCAGUUACAUUUCAAAGAAAUAGUUUUUCCAAGUAUCUUUGUGCAUGUGGGAUUAGUAUCGUCUUUGAAGUUUAAAUCAUUUUUUAAAUCCAGCUAGAGGCAAAUUAGAUAAGAAGGUGGCUGUGCACUUAAAUUAACACUUUGGAAAGCUCUCAUGAUUGUAAGAUCCAACCACUUAUCCUGAUAAAAUGGUGCCAACACUUUAAAGAGGUGUACCGUCUUAUUUUUUACCUAUAAAUUUUGUUGCUGACAGAUUUGAUAGGUGUGUGAUUCAGUGCUUAGCACUGGUAAUGUGAUUCAUCCCAGUUUCUGAACAGUUGUCCAAGAUGAACGUUCUGGUGAGGACUCCAGCGGUAUAAAUCGACUUCUAAGGGAUUUGGCCAUGCUUGCUGUUCUCAGUCUCGAUGCUGUUUUCCUACUCAGCCCCCAGAAACAAGGACCAGGGACAUCUGCUUGAGGUAGUGCCAGACCCAUCAAGUCCUACACAUGGUCACAAGCUUCGUUUCUGUACUCCGCUUCACACCCACUGGCCAGGGCCUCGGAGCAGCUGUGCCUGGUGCCUGGCUUCCCUGGGCAGGGGGCCUGUGCCACAGCCGAGGACAGGCACAGCUCGAAGACAGAUGCUCCAGCAACAGGCUCUCCCACGGUACACGGUUUCCCUGUGCCAUCUUCAUCGCGUUGUCUGGCACACUCAUCGCAUGCCUUCAUCAUUUGAUUAAAUGCCUGCCCCCAUCAGUGAGCACAGUGCGUGAUUCCUGCACAUCACGGCUUUGCUAACUCAAGAGGUCUGUUGUGGUGGACUGCCAGAUCCUGUCUCUGCAUCUCCUUUUAGAUUAUGUGGGUUUGGACUGUCAAUCACUUGCUGACAAAGAAUCAAUUCUCUCCACGGAGCCAAGUGGUUUGUAAAAUGCUUUCUGAAUCAUAUCAGCCAGAUGCCUUUACAACACUGCAUUUGUGACCAAGACUUGACAAAAGUAAAGGAGUUUCAAAAUAAAGUAUAUCUUAAUCAUUAAAAUUCUUGAAAAGUCAGCUAACUGGAUGGAGCAAUGGUAGGCAACUGAAAAGGGGGUGUUGUUUGGAACUGUGUAUAUAAAUCUUAAUCUCAGUGAAAAACUCCAGCAAAAGUAUUCUCACUUUUUUAAGAAAAAAAAAAAAAAAAAAAAAAAAAAAAAAAAAAAAAACUCAUCUGUAUUUGCAAGAGGAAAGAGCUAAAGUUUUGAUGCCUUUCAUGCAGCUUUUGGGAGCUGAGCCCGCAUAGUUUGAUCAGCAAGCAUUCAAAGUGAUUCACUCCAAGAGAAGUUAGACACCUGUUUACUUCUAGGAAUCCUAUUAUUCACAUCUUAAAUGUUUACCUUUUUGGAUGCCUGAUAUUUUUAUAAGUCAUACACUUUUUAUAAGUUUUUAUAAGCUAAUGGACAAGAAAGGAUCAGAUACAAAGUGUUAGCCUCCUGCCUUGUAAGUUGGAUCCUUGUAAAGGGUAUCUGAAGCCUGGAAUCAAGUUUACCUUAGCACUGAAAUCUCCUGAAGAUGAAAGCAUGAACCAAAUGUUCCCUGAGAGCUCAAAGACAGCACUCAACCUGGCUUCAAGGACACAAGGUUAUCACAUGGACUCUCACAGAACUGAGAUUUUCUGUCCGGAACCUGGAUCUAACAAGGUGAACAGAAGUGUUACAAAGCCCCACAGAGCCACCUGUACAGUUAAGUCUGAGGUCUGUGAAACAAAUUAUGUGAAUCACUUAUCUCCGUCAUUACAUUCAACACACUCUGUAAGAGGAAUUGAUGAGACCUUUCAGGAGCAUUUCAAGGUUUACUUUGCUGCAGUAUCUGUUGCAGAGGACUGCAUUUUUCAGCAUAAUGUGCUGCUUUAAAAUUAAUCCCAACCAAGUAAAAAGAUCUAACCUUUUUUGGUGUUACAGUUGUGAUAUUUUCCUUGUUGGGUACAAGUUUCCCUAAUACUCUACGCAACCAAAGAGAAGACGGAGUAGCUGCAAGCAAUGUCAGCUAACAGCUAACAAAAGAAUCAACAAAUUCACCUACUAGGCAUCACUCACUGCUCAGGUUGGCUUUCAUUUACUUAAAACACCCACUAGUGAUUAACAGUACAUCACUUGCCCCUAAUAAGAAAAAGCACACUUUUAAGAAACCAUCUGUACUGUGUCUAGUAGGACGCUUGUGAUGGAGGGAGGAAUAGGUUCUGCAGCUCAUUCCAAGAAAACCAAUGUCUUUACUUAUAGAAAAAAAAAAAAAAAAAAAUCAGAAAAGCACAGAGAGAGGAACAGAGGACAGAUGCAAUGACACUGCAGCAGCAGCAGCACAGCUCCCUGGAAGCUGGAGUUUAACAAGCCAAUGCUGCAAAGUGCUAAGCUCCCCUGCUGGAGCUAACGGGCACCCAAAAUCCUGAAGGAGGACACAUAUUUCUAAACUAAAAACUCUUUUACUCAGCUCUUUCUUUUUGCUGAGGCAAAAAAUGACUUAGUUCAUAAUCAGUGAAAAGCUGAUCCAACAGCUUAUGCAAGUGAGAUUCUUGCCAAAAGAAGGAGUGCUGGAACAAAUGAAUAACUUAAGGGAAAAUGGGAAAACACUGGUAACAUCUAAAAUGAUUUAACAAGGUGUCUAAUCCCAUAAAAAUAUAACAUUCUUUACUAGACUAGGGAACUGAAACGUGUUUACAUUUCAAAAUAAAAAGUGAAACCUAA